CGGACGGGUGAGUAACGCGUGGAGAACCUGCCGUAUACUGGGGGAUAACACUUAGAAAUAGGUGCUAAUACCGCAUAAGCGCGCAGCUUCGCAUGAAGCAGUGUGAAAAACUCCGGUGGUAUACGAUGGAUCCGCGUCUGAUUAGCUGGUUGGCGGGGUAAAGGCCCACCAAGGCGACGAUCAGUAGCCGGCCUGAGAGGGUGAACGGCCACAUUGGGACUGAGACACGGCCCAAACUCCUACGGAAGGCAGCAG
rnacentral:rRNA from 1 species